UUGUUUGCCGAAAAAGAGGGGUCAUGUAGCAGCUCCAAGAAGGUUGGCUGUGAUUGGCUGAAUGGUAUUUGUUCUAUUUUUGUAAGGUUUAUUGUUUUUUUUUUGGGGGGGGGGAUUAAAGCAGUGAAGAAUGUGCUUUCUUACUCUUCUCAAGGGGUACAAAUCAAUGAGAGUAGUAGUAUGGCAAGGGUGGCAAGGGUGGCAAGGGUGGCAAGGGUGGCAAGAGUGGCAAGGGUGGCAAAGGUGGCAAGGGUGGCAAGAGUGGCAAGGGUGGCAAAGGUGGCAAGGGUGGCAAGG
rnacentral:lncRNA from 1 species